CUCUAGUGGGCGUCUUGGGCCCGGGCUCUAUUCUGGGCUGUGGGCCUGGGAAGGGCUCGCCGGGUGCCAAAUGAGCUGUCCUAACUCUGCGGGGCUGCAGCUUCCUGCAUGAUGUUGUGGAGCUUGGCGCCUGACCCAGGAUAUAGAAGGCACUCUGGGCAGGCCGCGCUCCGCCCACGAAGGUUUAACCACCAAGGACUCUGAGAGCUGGCAGGUCUGAGUAACCCUGGUAACAAUUCUCUUCACCUUAUCAAAACCUGAGCUAAAACCAAUGCAUCAGCUGAUGAUGACAGCAGAGAGUGGCAGGGCUGAGGACCCAAUAUUCAUUUCCCAGGCUGGCGGAGAAUAAACUGCCAGGGAGAAGAAUGAGAAGACAGGAGACAAACUGUUUGGAAAGCUAAAUCUUCCCUCUUAAUGAGUAAAGGUUUUUGCCUUGUCUU
rnacentral:lncRNA from 1 species